rnacentral:rRNA from 1 species
UACGUAGGGUGCGAGCGUUGUCCGGAAUUAUUGGGCGUAAAGAGCUUGUAAGCGGUUUGUCGCGUCUGCCGUGAAAUUUCGAGGCUCAACCUCGAACUUGCGGUGGGUACGGGCAGACUAGAGUGUGGUAGGGGAGACUGGAAUUCCUGGUGUAGCGGUGAAAUGCGCAGAUAUCAGGAGGAACACCGAUGGCGAAGGCAGGUCUCUGGGCCACUACUGACGCUGAGAAGCGAAAGCAUGGGGGAGCGAACAGG